rnacentral:tRNA from 1 species
GGCAACAUGGCCGAGUGGUCUAAGGCGCUGGAAUUAGGUUAUAUCCUUCAUCCAGUCUUUCUGAGGCGAGGGUUCGAAUCCCUCUGUUGUCA